UUCUCAUGGGGGCCUGCCCAUGACCUCUACUAUAACAAAUCUUCUUCCUAAAGGAAGAAACUGAAAGGCACGAGAAUUUCAUUUUGCUUUGGCUGCAGCUGGCUUGCCCCUGGAAGCAGAAGUAUCUUUUCUGGAACCGAGCUGCCUGCCCUGCCUUCCUGCUGAGACACGGGUGACGGGCAAAGAAGAGGCUGAAACUGGAAUGCAAGGGGAGCGAGGGAGAGAAAUAACCACAUGGUGGCUGAUAAUGAAGCCACAGCCCUGGAGCAGCUGGUGAUGAGCCAGUCCUCCUCACCACAGAGACUUCGACUCCCACUCGCCCGAGGGACUCCCUCAGCCACGACGGAGACCGAGAGAUGACACGUGGGGCAUGAGCCUCUCUUUCACGCGUAUCUCCUCCACUAAAGUGAAUAAAUCUCUCAAGCGAAUAGUAACAAAGGACUGCCCUGGCCUGGGUGAAGCCAAAGGAUGAGGAACAGUCUUCCUACCUUGAAGGAAAGACUCUAUUUAAAGACAAAGAAGACAGGAAGAGAUGAGAAACUCCAGGCUGAAAGCUCCAAGAGGCCGUGUUGGAUGUGUGGGAAAGAUCUCCACACACAGAACAAUGCAUCACCUUGAGAAAUGGAGGCGGCUACCUCACCCGCUCAACGACUGAGCGGGAACGGGAAAGGAGGAACCCAGCCAAGGCCUGAGUGGUGAGGAGGAACUCUGGCCACAACCGUCCCUCUACUGUUUGGUUGGAUGGGGAUGCCAUUCUCAGACCUGCUGCUAACUGGGCAGGUAAAGUAUAGUCAGUCUUUUCCUCCCUGGGAGAGAAGGCUCUUAGACAGCUAUUAAGUACCCUUCCAGUUCUGCAAUUCUCUAAGCCUAUAGGGAUAAGCCUCAUAUCCACCUUAAACACAAACAACAGGGAGUGGGAAAAACGGUUGAAGAAUACAGUUAUGCGCUUCUUUAUUGAACAUUAUGUCUAGGGCACGGCUGGGAGCUAAAGGGGAAUCAGAGAAGCAGAAAACAGCCUUUAUAUUCAGAACCCUUAUACUCUGUGUGCAGGAGGGGGGCAGCGGAGGGGUGUGAGGAAACAUGAAAAGAUGGCAAUCAAAAUAAAGUUUCACUAUAAAACCAAGUCCAAGGCUAAGACCGUAUUUCAGAGCCAAGGGGUACAAAAAGAAGCCUUCCCUGGGAGGGGGGCUUUGAGCCGGUCCUUCAGGCAGGACAGCAAGACUCACACAGCCUUGGAGGGCACCAUGGAGGGAGGUGACUGUUGAUAGGAGUUGGCCCUCUGCAGGAGAAGGGUGAGUGGUAACUUGGAUGGUUAAACGUCUUAUGUGUUUUAUGUCUCAGAUCAUUUUAACAUUCUGUGUUUUCUGCAUUAAAGGCCGGCAUAGUAAUAGUAAUAGUCGCGUCACUCAUCCCUCAUCAUGAUGCUAACCGAGGCAGCAGGAAAAGAACAGGACACAUGAGACCUGGGCCCAGUCCCACAGCCACAGGCAGCUAGCAGGAUGGAGCUAAAUGGCUCAUCUGGCCGUGGGAUAGGAGAUCUUACAGAAUUGAAGUCGGGGUUGAAACCUCUUGACAACCGUCUUAUCCAAAGUGCACAUUUUGCAAACGAGUGGACUGAGUCCAGAAAAGAAGAGAUUUCUCUCAACUGGAUAUUUCUGUUAGCCAUUUCAAGCUCUCUGGACAUGGCUGGCCAUCAGUCACCUGCUUCUGGGUCUUGCCUGAGGAUGAUUCUGGCCUGCCCAAGAUUUGCCCUCCACUCCCUGCAACAUCCCAUCCAAAGUCCAUAUAACCGCCUUCCAAAGUCAACUCCAAUCCAGUUUCUGUAAGAAACCCCCAGGUAGAAAAGAGUUCCUCAAAUCCUCUCCCUCACAAGGUAUAACUACUGAGCUCAUGCGUCACACUGAGUCUUGGCUGGCCAGGACUCAAACUCACCUCGACACCCCUGCCACCACCCUUCUUCAAGUUCUUAGCAACCCACCCUGCUAGGUAGGUGCCAAGUAAAUGCUUGUUAAGUCAGGCUGGUCUGCAACCUCAGUUUUCUGACAUUCGGCCAAGCACCUUCUUAAACAUAUCUUGCUGCCUCUGUUCAUUCCAAGCCUAGAAGUGUGCAAUCCCCAGAGCAGCAAAAAUAGCUCCAGCCACCUCCAAAUCCAUCAAGCUACUUCCCAGACUGACUAAAUAUGGAGCAAGAGGGAAGAAACAGAGAGGAAAGGAGAGGAGGAGCAAAGGGCGCGCGGACCACGCACUGGAUACACAACCGUGCCUGCAAGCUGUGGAGCACGGACGCGGACCUCCCAGCCUCACAAGGAGGAAACCUGCUGUGCAGGGAGACUCAGUGGCUGGCCCGGGGUCUCACACAGGCUCCCCUGUGGAGCAAGCACUUCCUUUUCUGCAGUCUAAAAGGGUUCUGUCUCUACCACUGUGGACGGUCUCAACACGCAGCCGUCAGCAGGGCAGACCCAUUGAGUCCCCAGCAGAGGAUGGGAGCCAUCUGGCAAAGAAGAACACGGCAGCCACCUAUGGCAAAGGCCGUGUACGGAGAGUCACGCAACCAGCAAGGUCAGAGUGAAAUCAUCAUGGCAGAAGAAUUAUGAGACAGACCUGUGUAACUCCAGAGGCAACUCAAGGCACACAUCAGAUGGGAAUUUAAAAAAAAAAAAAAAAAAAACCUCUUUAAACACACAAGGACUCAGAUGCCAGCACACAGUGAUGGCCCCAGCCAGACAGCAAAGGCAUAUUGGCACCACUGUAAUUUGUCCAUUCACCAAUAUGCUUCCCGAAAAGCACCCAUAUGCUUUCUUUUAGCUUCCAUAUGCUUUUUUAGCAAGGAAACUAAAAUAUUUCAUUAGUUUUGAGUAAUUAAUAAUUACUUAUUUCACAAUAGUCACCCUCAUUAAAACACGAAAAUAACUGAUUAAGCUGCAGGAUCCUGGCUUUCAACUCAAGCUCUUUUCCUUUUUCCUUUUUUUUUUUUUAAUUCUUCUCCUCUAGGAAUUGAGUAACGGAGUAAAACAGCCAGUGUGGAAACAUCAGCGCGGUAGGAGAAUGGGGAGUUCUCACAUGCACAGCCCGGCGUGCCUCUCGACUGAGACAUCAUGGUUUAAUGAAAAGAACAUGGACUUUGUGAGCAGAAAGACUUGGGAUCCAAUCCCAGGUUGACCCCUGUGAGUCGUACUUCUGAGGAAAUGAAAGGCGUUGAAAAGAUAAAGGCUGCUGGAUUCCUUCAAGCCGGCCUUCCAUGAUUCCCAGGGAGCCACUUCACAGGUUUCCCUCCCGCCAUCGCAAGGCAUGGGGAAGGCAUGCCCCAAAAAGGCUGGCACCAUGCCAGCCACUGGCACCAGGCCAUGGCCAAUGGUCUCGACAUUGAUCUCAGGCAUAAAACAAUGCUUCUUCAGCUCUAAUGAGCAUAGGAACUACCUAGGGAUCUUGUUAAAAUGCAGAUUCUGAUUCAGGAGGUCUGCAGUGUGGCUUGAGGUCUGCAUUUCUAACAAGCUCCCAGGUGAUGCUGAUGCCCCUGGUCUUCAGACCAAACUUUGAGAGAAGCCAGAGCCUAUAAGGUACCAAGAUGAAAUCAGAAGUAGAAUCUGAAGAAGCAGGACAAGGGUGCCUUUCUCUUCAGGCUACAAUGGCCAUUACCAGUCCUGUUAACCAUCAUGCUGCCACGUACUGAACUUGUCCUCGCCAGAGUCCAGGCAGUAUGGUCCUGGCAGUACGAUUUCCAUUCAACACACAACAAAACUGAGACCCAAAGAAAUCAGGUCAUGUAUCAGAGGUCACGCAACUAAGAACACCGGAUUCCCAACCCAGGUGUGUUGGCCUAUCGAGUCUAUCCGCUGUGCAUCAGGCAGUGGAAGACAGAAAAUCUUAGGUGGACACUACCACAGGGGCUGGUAUGAAGUCUACUUUUUCCUCUGCCUCCGUUUCCCCACAGGUGAGGUGAAGACAUGGCACCUGACAAUCUCUGGGGCCUCUCCAACCCUCUGACACCACCUUUCACUCUUCAGAGCUCCCAGGUCCACUCACAGGGGGGUCACUGAGCAGGAAGCAUUAGCUUCACACAUGUGGCAGACAUUAUAUCUUGGCACGAUCCAAAUUCUAGCUGCUCACAUCUGCAUUUGUGCUGAUUCGUGCACGGUCAGAAGUCUAUCUCUGUUAAAAAAAAAUCCCACGCUCAGUCUAACAGAGAGAAAAUAAUACGCAGAUUCCCCAAAGCACUGACAUUCCAAUCCAGUUGAUAACUCACAGCUAUCAGGGUACUGGGACUCUAAUCUGUUUUGUCUCUUCCUCAUCUCACCGACAAAAAUGAAGAAAUUGAGACCACUAACCUGACAGAGCUUGAAGAAAAAGGAAAAAAAAAAAAAAAGAGUUAUUUACAGUGCAUUUUAUACAACUGUCCAACAUGUUUUAGUCUGCCUUGAGGUGCCAGAUAUGCAUUUGAUUAAUAAAUUAUCAUGAUUCAGGAUAUGUGAUCUUGUCCCUCUCUGAACUCCCACAGCACACAU